rnacentral:rRNA from 1 species
AGUGAACGCUGGCGGUAGGCCUAACACAUGCAAGUCGAACGGCAGCACAGUAAGAGCUUGCUCUUACGGGUGGCGAGUGGCGGACGGUUGAGGAAUACCUCGGAAUCUACUUUUUCGUGGGGGCUAACGUAGGGAAACUUACGCUAAUACCGCAUACGACCUACGGGUGAAAGCAGGGGAUCUUCGGACCUUGCGCGAUUGAAUGAGCCGAUGUCGGAUUAGCUAGUUGGCGGGGUAAAGGCCCACCAAGGCGACGAUCCGUAGCUGGUCUGAGAGGAUGAUCAGCCACACUGGAACUGAGACACGGUCCAGACUCCUACGGGAGGCAGCAGUGGGGAAUAUUGGACAAUGGGCGCAAGCCUGAUCCAGCCAUACCGCGUGUGUGAAGAAGGCCUUCGGGUUGUAAAGCCCUUUUGUUGGGAAAGAAAAGCAGCAGGUUAAUACCCCGCUGUUCUGACGGUACCCAAAGAAUAAGCACCGGCUAACUUCGUG